GUGACUCUUGCUGGUGGAUCACUCGGCUCGCGCGUCGAUGAACGCAGCUAGCUGCGAGAAUUAGUAUGAAUUGCAGCAUACAUUGAUCGACACUUCAAACGCACCGUGCGGCCCAGUUUCCUCCCAGGUCUAUGCCUGUUUGAGGGACGCUUGUACAUCAAUAGCCCUGGGGCCUCCCAUGGCCGUGGUGGGGCUGUCAAAGUGACCCUGUUCCCUUCGUCCCUAUAAGGUUAGACCCCGAUCAGCACUGUUGCAGGAUCCCUGGACUGCUGCGCAGGCUCGUUGCCGGUUGUGCCCAGGCCUCUCCCAGUUUCCCCACCUCAUGCGAUGUUUCGAGGUGGCUGGCACACCCCCUAAGUGGUAGCAGCAGCAGCAGCAGCAGGCCUUAAAAAAGCCUGGUGCACCUUCACCAUACCCUCGGCACCUGGCUGUGCUGUGUGUGGUGUCCCACGGCUGUCGGCAUGGGAUAGCCAUGGAGCGUGGGACUCGCGACCAUGUGGGCUUCGCUGCAGAUUGGACAGCGCACCCUGAGGUGAUGUCGAUUACCCACCCAAACUGUCUUGAAACAAGGACCAAGGAGUCUAACACGCGUGCGAGUCGGAGGGCUGAACGAAACCCUGUGGUGCAAUGAAGGUGAGGGCCAGCGUGCACUGAUUGCGGUGGGAUCCUGCCGCAGUGGGCGCACCACUGACCCCUCUCGCCCGCUCUGUCAGGGAGAUGGAGCAUGAGCAUGUGUGAUAGGACCCGAAAGAUGGUGGACUAGGCCUGGUGGAGGUCUGUAGCGGUUAUGAUGUACAAAUCGGUCGUCCAACCUCGGUAUAGGGGCAAAAGAAGAAGUUUCCCUCAGGAUAGCUGGCGCGCGGAAACCCGAGUUGUAUCUGGUAAAGCAAAUGAUUGGAGGUCUUGGGGCUAAAAUGAUGUCAACCUAUUCUCAAACUUUAAAUGGGUAAGAAGCCCGGUUUGCUGGCGUGGAGCUGGGCAUUGAAUGCAAGUGGACCACUUUUGGUAAGCAGAACUGACGCUGUGGGAUGAACCGAACGCUGGGUAAGGCGCCUGAUGCUGACGCUUAUAGGAUCCCAGAGAAGGUGUUGGUUGAUAAAGACAGCAGGACCGUGGCCAUGGAAGCCAGAAUCCGCUAAGGAGUAUGUAACAACUCACCUGCCGAAUCAACCAGCCCUGAAAAUGGAUGGCGCUGGAGCAUCUGGCCCAUAGCCGGCCGGCGCUGGGGGCCAUGGGGGCUAAGCCUCGAUGAGUAGGAGGGCCGCUGCGAUGCGCACAGAAGCCUGAGGUGACUGCCCAGGUGGAGUUGCUGCAGGUGCCGAUCUUGUUGGUGGUAGCAAAUAUUCAAACAAGAACUUUGAAAGCCGAAGUGGAGAAGUGUUCCAUGUGAACAGCAGUUGAGCAUGGGUCAGUCAGUCCUAAGAAAUGGUUGAGAGUGUCGUUCAGAAGUGACAGGCGAUGGCCUCAGUUGCCCUCAGCCGAUCAAAAGGGAGUCAGGUUCAGAUCCUUGUACCCGAAUGGUGGAGACGGGCGCCCUUGUGGCAUCCAGUGCGAUAAUGCAAACGAUCCCAGAGAAGCUGGCAGGAUCCCAGGGAGAGUUCUGUUUUCUUUGUGAUAAGAUGGGCACCCUGCAAUGGGUUCCCCUCGAGAGAGGGACCUGAGACUUGUAAAGUGUUGCAGAUCUGGCAGCGUCUGGUGAGCUUUCGCUGGUCCUUGAAAAUCUGGGGGAGAUAGUGUAAAUCUCGUGCUGGGCCAUACCCAUAUCUGCAGCAGUUCUCCAAGGUGAACAGCCUCUGGCAUGUUGGAACAAUGUAGGUAAAGGAAGUUGGCAAGUCGGAUCUGUAACUUCUGGAUGGGCUGGGUCGGUCGGUUAGGCUGAGUGCGAAGCUGGGCUGGCUAUGCGCUACGGCUGGACGAGGUGUCUCCUCCCCGGGGGCAGCACUGACUCUGGAUGUGAGUCGGGCACUUCCUGUGGACCGCCCCAGCUGCAAUGGUCACCUUUCGCCGUUCCCCUCCCGUGGCUCAGGGCUGGUGUUGCCCCUUGGCCGACACCUAGCAGCUGACUUGGAUCUGGUGCGGACCACGGGACUCUGACUCUUGAAUGAAAACAAAGCAUUGCGUAAGGCCCACGGUGGGUGCUCUGAAUGUCAAAGUGAAGAAAUUCAAUGAAGUGCGGAUAAACAGCGAGAGUAACUAUGACUCUCUUAAGGUAGCCAAAUGCCUCGUCGUCUAAUUAGUGACAUGCAUAAAUGGAUGAACGAGAUUCCCACUGUCCCUACCUACUACUAUCUAGCGAAACCACAACCAAGGGAACGGGCUUGGAAGAAUCAGCGGGACGGAACAGAAGACUCCAUUGAGAUUUGCUCUUGUCUGGCACUGUGAAGAGACAUAAGUGGGAGGCCUUCGAGCUGCCAGUGAAAUACCACUACUCUUAUCGUUUUUUCAGAGCCCUGUCUGACUCUCGCUUCUGGCUCCAAGCGCCUGGCACCUUGUGGGUGCGACCCGCUCCGAGGACAGUGGCAGGUAGGGAGUUUGACUGGGGCGAUACAUAUUGCAGACCAUAAUGCAGGUGUCCUAAGGCAAGUUCAGGGAGGACCGAAAUCUCCCAUGGAGUAGAAAGGCAAAAGCUUGCUUGAUCUUGAUUUUUCCGUAAUGAAUACAGACAGUGAAAGUGGGGCCUCAGGAUCCUUCUGACUUUUUGGGUUUCAAGCAGGUGUCAAAAGUUACCAGAGAGAUAACUGGCUUGUGGCGGCCAAGCUUUCAUAGCAACAUCGCUUUUUGAUCCUUCGAUGUCGGCUCUUCCUAUCAUUGUGAAUCAGAAUUCAUCAAGCAUUGGAUUGUUCACCCACUAAUAGGGAACAUGAAUUGGGUUUAGGCAGUUGUGAAACUGGUUAGUUUUACCCUACUGAUAGUGUGCUGUUGCAAUAGUAAUCCUGCUCAGUACGAGAGGAACCGCAGAUUUGGACAAUUGGUGUAUGUGCUUGGCUGAGGAGCCAAUGGGUAAAGCUACCAUCUGUGGGAUUAUGACUGAACGCCUCAAAGUCAGAAUCGCGUAACCGUAAUGGUAUUGCAGCGCUGUGGAGUCUCGGUUGGCCUAGGAUAGCCGGCCUCUGAGCCGGUGCAUAGCGUCGCUCGCCUUGGGACUCGAGUGUGAACAGAAGGGGGCCACCUCUUUCGCCCGUAGUGCACCGCAUGUUAGUGGCGAACCUGGUGCUAAAUCAUUCCUAGACGACCUGAUUUUGGGUCAGGGUUUCCUAAGUAGCAGAUCAGCUACCUCGCUGCAAUCUAUUGGAAGUCUUCCUC
rnacentral:rRNA from 1 species